rfam:Caminicella sporogenes DSM 14501 genome assembly, contig: EJ28DRAFT_scaffold00005.5
UGGAUAGUAUCCUUUGGGAACUAUACCAGAAAAAUUUUAUAUAAAAAAAUUUAAUAUUAUUUUUUAAUCUGCUCUGAGCCUUUGCUAUGGACCGAGACAGAAGG